UACAGAGGGUGCGAGCGUUAAUCGGAAUUACUGGGCGUAAAGCGUGCGUAGACGGUAGCGUAAGUCAGAUGUGAAAGCCCCGGGCUCAACCUGGGAAUUGCAUUUGAGACUGCUCUGCUCGGGUGCGGAAGAGGGAAGCGGAAUUUCCGGUGUAGCGGUGAAAUGCGUAGAUAUCGGAAGGAACACCAGUGGCGAAAGCGGCUUCCUGGUCCGACACCGAC
rnacentral:rRNA from 1 species